AGCGGGGUAGGACAGAGAUUGAAGCUUGCUUCACAUCGUCCAAUCAGGAGUGUCCACCGGGCUCAUAACCCGGGGGUCGUUGGUUCAAAUCCAACCCCCGCUA
rnacentral:tRNA from 1 species